CGUGCCCCGUCUUUCGCGCCAGAAGAAUUCGAUACUAAAUCGAAAUUUAAUUGAAAUUUGCGAAAGAAAUAUGGAGAAUGCAAUGCGUCUAGUACAAUUAUCUGUUAGGACCAAAUCUGUUUUUCUCUUAUUCAAAACAAACGUCUUUCAAUUUUUAUCAUUUUGUAUUCCAUCUUUUCGUGCCCCGUCUUUCGCGCCAGAAGAUUUCAAUUCUAAAUCGAAAUUUAAUUGAAAUUUGCGAA